AAGGGGGGAGUUACGU
rnacentral:rRNA from 1 species